ACAUAAACCAACUUUAAAGUACCGCUGAGCUGUUCAGUAAUUUUUGUGACAGUUUUUCUGUGUUGCCUUAAAUAUGUCGGACCCUUUUCCUAGAUGUAAAACCAUGCAUUAUUUUAUAAUUAUGUGCGCAGUACUUCGCUCGUUUUUAAGGUGACCAUAAUUCUAAUCACUUUUCUGUGAACCAUGAAAGGACCACUAAUUUUAAGUUGUUGUUCAGGUAACUGCAUCUGCUUACUACCGUUAUGGUUGAAUUCUGUUUCUUAUAUUGCACAAAACAGCAACGUGUAUCCUUUUAUAUAAGAGCAUCAUUUAAGAAAUUUUCUCUUUUAAAUGAGUUAGUGUGGACCUUCAAUCUGCGCUUGACAUUAACUGCUUAUAUCUUGCCAUUCAGAAUUAAAUAUAAAGGUGUGCUUAAAACGUUUUUAUUAGUUAAUUUCUCAGUGUUAUAGUGUUUUAGAUACAAGUGUUGUUAGGUGUGCACUUACACUUCAUGCACUUUAUGAUGCAGUGCUUUUAGCUGCAGCUUAUGCAAAUCCAGUGUGCUUGCAUUUCCUUAGCAGCAUGGGACUUUGGGCACUGCAGUGUCUGGCAUUAAUGAAGGAGUUAAGACGGUAAAGAUCAAGGAUCGAGAGGCUGAAGGAGAGAAAUGUUCAGUGUAAAGCCUGCAGGGUAUUUGCCCAGAAGGCUGAAGAGUUCAGCAGGGAAUUUAAUGAAGGAAACAGCCUAAAUCUGAGGGUGUACUGCCCACGAAUGCCACAGCCAGUGGAAUUCACACUGGAACACACACUGGUAAUUUAUGCAUAACUUGGUGUUCUAGCAUUCUUUACAUGAGCCCAUUGUUGUUUAACAGUUUAAUUCUUAACAUUAGAAUCAAUUUUCAAAUUAAAACAUUCACAUUGAAAGAAGUGAUAUUUCAGUAAGGAGCUACACAUCCUUAGAGGGAAGGUGAUGCAGGGCACAGUUGCUACUUGGUUCAUUUUGUUAAAAAAAAUUGCCAGAUGGCUCAGAAGAUAGGAGGUGCAGUGAGUAGAACUAGGGUCCGUCUGUGUGGAGUUUGCAUGUUCUCCCCGUGUCUUCAUGGGGUUUCCUCCAGGUAACCCCCCCCUCCCCCCCCCCCACAAUCCAAAAACAUGCUAAGGCUAAUUGGAGUUACCAAAUUGCUAGUAGGUGUGAGUGUGUGUGUGUGUGAGUGAAUGGUGUGUGAAUGUGCCUUGUGAUGGGUUGGCGCCCCAUCAUGGGUUGUUCCCUGCCUUGCACCCAUAGCCUCCAGCAUAGGCUCCAGACCCCCCGCGACCAUGGAUAGGACAAGCAGUUUCAGAAAAUGGAGGAUGGAUGGAUGGGAAUCGACUAGCGGCAGCAGCAACAACAAAGACAGGCGAAACAGAGAUGCGUUAAUCUGUCAGUGAUGCAGCAGCCUAUCUUGAUAUGCAAGAGUUGUCUUUUGGAGGGCAGGACAGGACACAGGACUCGGCUAUAACAAGGGCAAGUACAAAUGGUUGACUUGAAAGCACGGCACGUUUGUGGAGCAUGUUGAAAAUUCUACAGUAUUCUGUUAGCUGCCAAAACUAUUCUAAAUGACCUCAUUUCGGCAAUAAUUAAAAGUGACAUCAGGCAAGAGGUGGACGUGGCUCCAUAUUCUUAGCAGAUAGACGAAACAACCGAGCUGCCAUUCCCAGCUGCCUGUUAAUGUGCGUAACUUACUGUAGAUGGUGGGAAUGGGGAAAUCCAGGAAGGCCUUUUCCGGUUUUCCCGAUGUUUCCAGUCGACACAUUAUUGAGGCUAUUUUUAAGUUGCUGCAGUCAGAGAUGUCUGAUUAUAGCUUUGCGGAGAAGCUUGGUGCACAAGCCCAUAAGGCUGCUGUCUGCAUGACACCUGAUCUGAGUGGCUUACAAACUAAAAUGCGAUUGGUUGCCCCCGCUACAGUCGUCUCGCACUGUUUUCAGUUUACCCUCUGCCAAGUACUGAACAGCAUCAGCAAAGAUAAGAUUUCCUUUGUUACUCUCGGUAGCUUCAGCACUUACUUUUUUGUAAAUUAACCAAGAAUGUCACAAUGCUGGAAGAAUCUGAGUGUUCUAAAGUGCCAAGAAUUCCAUGCGCAUGUUGGAACUUCCUGUCUAAGAUCAUAAAUACAGUAGCUCAUAGAGACAGCCCAGUGGAUAAGUGUCACAUCAUCGAUCACGCCACCAUGGAUGAGCAGUCUAUAAGCUUAGCAGAUAGACUGAAGACAAAGCUAGAAGAUUUAGAAUUAUUUGUUUGUUUUGCUUUUUACAUUUGAGCAGAUGUUCUCAGGGAGAUGCUGUGCUCAGUCUGCUGCAGACAGAAGUAAUGCAUGAUUCUUUGGGUAAAAGCAUUGUGGAAAGGGUCAUGGACACUGUGGAGGAGCUGUUGUCAGAGGAGGCAUUCGAGAGGAUUUUCAGUAGAGCGGCAGACAUUACAGAAGCUCCACCCCUGCCUCUCUGCUCCUGACAACAAAAGCACCACCCUGGCCUCACCCCGGACCUGAGACUAACAGCACCACCUGUUUGUGUCCUCUCUCUGCUCCGGGUGACAGAAGAUAAGAUCAGUGGGAUUUGUCCUCUGGGCUGACCUGCAGGGUUCUGCUGGUCCUGGACAAGCACAUGGUGGGGAAACAUGGCUUCAGCCUGGGAGUGAAGAGGCAGCAGACCUUGGGCAGCACUGAUCCAGCAUGCCUGUCCUGAGCACCAGCCUCCUGCCUGUGGUCUGGAGAACGCUGGAUGACCUUCCACCACUGCCCAGAGUGUCAACAGCGCUUUCAGUGCCUGGACAAUUGGAGCUGUGUGCUAACGGGGAGGCUGUUGGGGGCCAAGGAAGGGGAAGAAUACCCAAGGGUGGGGGCACAGUGUACCACUGUGUGAAGUGUGGGAGAUUGUUCCAGCAAAAAGGGGCACUGAAGACGCACCAGCACAACGACGAAGACUUUGACGCAGCCAAACCAGCCAUUUAACAGGAUUCAGUCUUUGAAGGCUCCCCACCUCUGAGAUGGCAGUGAGAAUAGCAUGGCGCAGCGGUGGACUGCAAAGACUGCUGGGAAGGGGCACACUCAGAGUGGUAUUAUUCCUGCAGAGGCUGCAAACUGGGUUUUAAUCGGCUGUGCACUGUGUGACCACCAGGGGUCGCACCACAGUGGCCUACAGCACAGUGACACCCUGAUUAACAGCAUCAACUAUGGAAAGAGCUUCCAGCACGCCAUGGAACCUGCUACAAGAAGAUCUUCAGCCAGGGGGGCCCUCUGAUGCUACACCAGUGAAGCCACGUCAGCAAGACUCCUUAUCAGUGCAAGUGCUGCAACAAAAGCUUCGGCCAGGCCCAGAACCAGAAGAGGCGCUGGGGGCGGGACACCGGGAAGAUGCCACACUUAGAAGAGCAGGAAGACCUCCAGCCAGCUGGGUGACCUGAGAGUAGAGCUUCAAGAGGAAAGGAAACCUCAGCUUCCUGCUGGAGACCCCGUUUCCGAGACUGUGGCCAGAACCUCGGCUAGCUAGCAGCACUGAGGAUGAAGCAGCUCACCCAUAUGGGGAAGAGACCUUCGCGCUGCUAGCCAUGCCGUUGGACAUUUGCCGGCUCUUACAAACUAUACACUCACAGCUGUCGCGCCGUUUGAGUUUCUGUGUUUAUUGGUUCUGCCUGUGAGCAGAGUAAGCAUCAGUCAUAAAUAUGCAAGAGGGUGCCUUCUUGUUGAUCCUGCUCGGUACGUUGACCUGCUAUUUGUAACCCUGAUAACUUAAGUAGGUAAUAAUGUACAUCGAGACACCAGAAUCUGAGAGGACAGCUUUGGAUGAGCUAUUCAUAUUGAUUAUCAAGGAUAUUGGUCAAUGAUUUUUGUAGCAAGUCAGUAUUCAUGCAUAACUCUAUCAUUAUACUUCUUUGGAGUAAAGCUACUCAUAUACUAUUACUUGGAUCAUUACAAAAAUAACAGCUCUGCUUGACAUGCUACCAGAAUCUCAGCUCAUUGCAUAGUGCCUACCCAAGCAAAUCCAAAGAAAUCUUUAAAUGUUUAUAUUAUUUGAA